UCCCAGACUCCUACGGGAGGCAGCAGUGGGGAAUAUUGCACAAUGGGGGAAACCCUGAUGCAGCGACGCCGCGUGAAGGAUGAAGUAUUUCGGUAUGUAAACUUCUAUCAGCAGGGAAGAAAAUGACGGUACCUGACUAAGAAGCCCCGGCUAACUACGUGCCAGCAGCCGCGGUAAUACGUAGGGGGCAAGCGUUAUCCGGAUUUACUGGGCGUAAAGGGAGCGCAGGCGGCGCGCCAAGUCUGAUGUGAAACCCCGGGGCUCAACCGCGGGCAUGCAUUGGAAACUGGCGGGCUGGAGUGCCGGAGAGGUAAGCGGAAUUCCUAGUGUAGCGGUGAAAUGCGUAGAUAUUAGGAGGAACACCAGUGGCGAAGGCGGCUUACUGGACGGCAACUGACGCUGAGGCUCGAAAGCGUGGGGAGCAAACAGGAUUAGAUACCCCAGUAA
rnacentral:rRNA from 1 species